GGUUGUGUAGUGUAGUGGUCAUCACUCCGGAUUUUGAUCUGCAUCAAAAUCACACCCUUCCGGCGACCCCGGUUCGAGUGCGUUUGACCC
rnacentral:tRNA from 1 species